GGCCUUAAGUUCUACCUAUACACUCUGGGAUAGUCUAUCAGCCACGUAACACUUCCUUGCUCACCUCCAGUGGAGGGAUCAUUCAUCUACAGCAGGCAAUUUAUUUCACUUUUAGAUGGGUCCAUUUUUUAAUGUUCUAAUUUAAUAUAGGAACUCUUUAUAGUUUCUACUCAGUGGUUUUAGAUCUACUUUCAAAAGCUACACCAUCAUCUCUGUACUAUUUAAACAUAUUUUGACUUGCAUGAAAUCUACUAGCUCUUCUUGAAAGCCUAAAUGGGUAUUGUACUGAGUGGAUUAGAACUUCAAAUGCUGCAAAGAUACAAAAGUGCUUUACUGUAAAAUCCAAGACACGGGACAGCCCUAUUUUAUGGAAAAGAUACCUGAAACCCAGAAAUCCGAGUAAGUUACAGAAACAAACACCUGGAAGAGAUGCAAGUGGGACUGAACAAAAAUCUAACCGAUUGUAGCAUCUAUUCUCGUCCCUAUAUAGUUUUUCUCUCUGCUUUUGGGACUUUAGUGACGACUGCAUGACAUGCCCUGAACUCAUUCUAAUUCUGCUGGAGAUAAAUAAGGGUGAAGUGAAU